GAUGAACGCUGGCGGCGUGCCUAAUACAUGCAAGUCGAGCGAACGGACGAGAAGCUUGCUUCUCUGAUGUUAGCGGCGGACGGGUGAGUAACACGUGGAUAACCUACCUAUAAGACUGGGAUAACUUCGGGAAACCGGAGCUAAUACCGGAUAAUAUUUUGAACCGCAUGGUUCAAAAGUGAAAGGCGGUCUUGCUGUCACUUAUAGAUGGAUCCGCGCUGCAUUAGCUAGUUGGUAAGGUAACGGCUUACCAAGGCAACGAUGCAUAGCCGACCUGAGGGGGUGAUCGGCCACACUGGAACUGAGACACGGUCCAGACUCCUACGGGAGGCAGCAGUAGGGAAUCUUCCGCAAUGGGCGAAAGCCUGACGGAGCAACGCCGCGUGAGUGAUGAAGGUCUUCGGAUCGUAAAACUCUGUUAUUAGGGAAGAACAUAUGUGUAAGUAACUGUGCACAUCUUGACGGUACCUAAUCAGAAAGCCACGGCUAACUACGUG
rnacentral:rRNA from 1 species